rnacentral:rRNA from 1 species
AUUGAACGCUAGCGGGAUGCUUUACACAUGCAAGUCGAACGAGUGGCGGACGGGUGAGUAAUGUCUCGGAACGUGCCCAAUAGCGGGGGAUAACUACUGGAAAGGGUGGCUAAUACCGCAUACUAUCGGAGCAGCCGAUAUCGGAUUAGCUAGUUGGUGGGGUAAAGGCUCACCAAGGCGACGAUCCGUAGCUGGUCUGAGAGGACGACCAGCCACACUGGGACUGAGACACGGCCCAGACUCCUACGGGAGGCAGCAGUGGGGAAUUUUGGACAAUGGGGGAAACCCUGAUGCAGCCAUGCCGCGUGUAUGAGAAGGCCUUCGGGUUGUAAAGUACUUUUGGCAGAGAAGCGGUAUCCGCAGAAUAAGCACCGGCUAACUACGUGCCAGCAGCCGCGGUAAUAC